UUUUUUUUUUUUUUUUUGUAGUGUCUGUGAGUUAUUUCUUUGUAAAUAUAUAUAUCUUUGCUUUCCUAUAUAUAUCUUUUACAAUAUAAUAUAUAUAUCUUUGCUUUCCUAUAUAUAUAUUGUAUUCAUUGUAAACAGAUUUCUUGCUUGAAAUUCUGCUUGGUUAGGGGGAGAGAGAGAGAGAGUGUGUGUGUGUGUGUACAAAUAUGUGUGUAUACAAUAUAUAUAUACAUAUAUAUAUAUAUAUGCAUAUGCAUAUAUGUAUAUGCAUAUAUGUAUAUGUAUGUGUAUGUGUGCUUUAAAGUUUAUAUGUUUGUUAUGUUAAGGCAAACAUAACAAACGUUAACAGUGGACAAUACCAUGCAUCUAAAAAUAAUUAAAAUUUUGAAUAAUGUAAAUAACGUUAAAAAGAAAAACUUUGUGUACACCAUAGUGAAGUAAAUUUCUAAAUUUUUUGAUAGCUACUAUAAUAAUGUGUUCAUUCUUCUCAUUGUAUUUUCAAAAGCUACAUAUUAACCGUUAGCGUUAUUUUAUAAGUUCUACUUUUGUCUCAUAAAUAAAAAAGUCUCAUAAGAGUUUAGUGUUCAAGCUUGCUACAUUAAUCUUCAAACUAACUUGGAAUUUCAGUUUAAGCAUUAAUUGGCUUAAAAGCUAUUAUCAAAACCGAACGGAAUUUCUUGAAACAUACAAAUAGUGGCAGACUCAAAACCUUAUGGGAGAUGGAGGCAAUUGUAAUUUCCAUAACUUCAUUGCGGUUUAUGCGAUUUAUGUAUCCCAUAUGUUUAUAUUCUCAUAAAUAGAAGAAUUCAUAUAUACACGUAACCAUGAAAUUAUACAUAGUACUAUACAAUUAGAUAAAAAAAAAAAAAAAAAGAAGAAAGAAUAAAAAGAAUUCUGCAUUCAGCAUCGGGCUAGUUCAUGAUAAAGAUUAAUGACAUCCAGAAAACCUUCUUCCGCAUCGUUCCGACCGACUUCGACCGCCGUUCGAAUUAAAGUUGGAAGAGAAGGUCUAGGAUGAUUGACAAGAGUCAGUCAGGUCAACCAAGGAUGCUGCCGAAGAACCACUUUUUUUUUUUUUUUUAAAGGUAAUUGUUAGCCACCACGAUCGAAAUGCAAGAAAUAUUGUAACACAUUCUGAGCCGAGUGGACUUAGGCAGGUCAUCCUUGGCUAACCCACGAGAUUCUUUAUCUUCAUACAAGACCUCCCUUCCUCUAGUUCUAAAUCCUGCUAUUGAUCGAUGCUUAGAAGAUAGAAAUAAUGCUAAGAUAAAUGUGGCUAUUUAUAGGCAAUAAGGAGGCAAAAAGAUUAGAUCCGCGUAAGGAGCUUUCUUGACACUGUGAACCCCAAAAUUCUAUCUUGUGAUUUUUUAUCCCCAUUUGCUUGAGAUGAAUAUAUUCCCCAUUGUUUAAGGGGAGAACCAUAUCCAAAUUGUGAAAUGAGAUUGGGAAGACGAGGUGGAAAAGCAGCAUGUUUAUCCCAACUUGUACUGAAUCCCAUUUUUGCGCAUUUAUGCCCCAUUUUUUUUGUCACUGUUAAUUGGGAAAUUAAUCACUCAAAAUUUCUAAAUUUCAUUGAACGUUCGGAUAUGGCUACUCCCUUUUGAAUAUAACUGGUUGACUGAUCCCAGUCUGAACUCUCAUUAGGAUAAGUUGCAGUACCACAUUACCUUAAUGUUAGUCUCACACAGUCUUAAGUUGCAAUGCACUGUAUAUGUAUAUUGAUGCAGUCGCACGAUUUGUGGAUUGUAGUAUUCCAACAAUUGGAGGAAGAAAAAUGACUGUAUGCGAGUUCAAAUCUUCGUUUAAUAUAGUUAUACGUUAGUAUUUUUGACAUUAUUAGCGGAAUAGUUUGUCAUAUCAUUGUGUUGUAAGUAUCCAUAGUCAUUUCAUUAAAUAUUGUGUCAUAACAAUCUUAUAAAAAAAAACAGAAACAAAAUAACAAACUGUUGGGGGUUUUUUUUUUCCUUUUGAUUGUUCAAUCUUAUAUUCUUAUCCAUAAAGCCACCAUCAUCCCAGUUAGAGCCCAUGCAUGUACGGAUGGUUGACUUUCUGAUCUGUGUACUUCUUGCUACACUUCUGCUCUGACAGUCGAAAUUUGAUUCUCAUGCUGAUUAAUAUUCCCCAAGCAAUCGAAUUCCAUCACAAAUGACCACUUGAAUAAAAAUGUUAAUGCUCCAAGUACCAAGCAAACUUUGCUUAGCAUUAUUUUGCUUCAUUUUCAAGCAUCUAACUCUUGGCUUUGCACUUUGUCAUUAGCUGUUUUUGCCAACAAAGAUGUUCUCGUGGGCUCGAAUGGACAUGGAAGCUGAUGCAGAACAUUCAAGAACUAAAAUCUAGCACUAAUCUGCUCUGAAAAUUAUCGGCUAAAGAGAUAAAAAUCAAGUGCAAAUGAAUAAGGAUGGAUACCAUGUGAUGCAAAAUUUUAGUGACUCUCUCUGACAUUUAUUAAUACAAAUAUAGAACGACCUCUCCUCAAGUUUUACAUAGCGUCGUUAUGUUAUCCCAUUUUCAAUUGUUAUCAAAAUGUUUAUUUUCUCUAAAAUAUUAAUAUGCCAUUCGGAGGGUAGUGUUGGAAGUUCAGUCUAAACUUGGAAACAAAAUAAAGUGCAUGCACUUGUGAAAACCCAAAAUCAGUGUUACAUCAUCCGCCAAAAAUGAGUUAUUACAUAAGUGAUUUUAACAUUCUUGCAAUACCUGGAAAAGGGACAAAAAAAAUGUCUAACUUUUAAUAUGUGAAACCACAGAAACAUGUUAAUUCUGAUAUGUAUGAUCAUCCUCAUAUUAAUACCUUAGGCGGGUACAUUUAGACGUACGUACUAAUGCAAAAAUCGAAGCUGUUUUGUGUGUGUUUAUAUGUGUGUGUGUCUACAUCUAGUAGCCACAAAUUUGCACCCUAGAUAAUGCAGUUUUGAUCAAUGCUUGGGCUGAUAAUUCAGUAGUUGGAUGUCUGGUUCUUGAGGUAGAAUUUCACAACCUCAAUUCCUAAUGUUCUAUCUUCCCAAAAAAGUUGGAAAAAAUAAUGCCUGUGACUAUUAGAUAUGUGAAUGGUUGAGCUGAUAGCCAAAAGCAUAGCCAUAUAUUUUUUGCAUGGCUGCGAUUCUGUUAAGUUUAAUUACUUCUCUAUAAAAGCAGCAAGAACACAUCUAAAGAGCUGUGGAGUUUCCAUCUUGAUGAAGUGAGUUGGUGGUAUAUUUUCAACGUAUUUAGGACAGCUUUUAAUUUCGAGAAAUUAUAGAACCAUGAGCUUCAAAGUUAAUUUUGUUAUGUGCACUUAACAAUUGCUUCUUUUUCUUUUUUACCCAAAAAAAAAAAAAUUGUAAGAUUCUACCAUAACAGUUGAAAUGAAAAUACUAAUAUCAAAUGAACUCGCAGGUUGGUUAAGAAUAAGAAGGGCAAUAAUUGAUGACAGAAACGUAAUGAUGUUCAAAUGAUUUCUUUGUUUUUUCCCCGUCAAGCUAGCUAGUGUGAUCGAUGGCUCCCUAACCAACUAAUAUUACAAUAUUCGUUUAAUAAGGAUUUGUUUACAUAUAUCCAUAUCUCCUAUCUUUCAGUUAAGAGUCGAAGAAAGUGAAAGAUGAAGGCACAGAACUUCAAGCAGUGUUGUUGAUGUCGGACAAAUUUGGCCAAUUCUGCAGUAACUAGGUCCCAGAUGUGGCCUAAAAGUAGUGAUUUCAACCAAGAUCGUCGAUGAACUAGUCAAGAACCGGAUGAGCAAUCUAAACCAGCGUUGGACUGGAUAUACACUCUUUUUUUUUUUGGUUUUUUUCUUUUUUUUCCCCAAAAAAAAAAAGGGAUUUUGAGCUUUUGGAACCUAAUGAAGCCACUGGUUCAAGGAGUCACUUGGCUGGCUCCUUUCUUCUUCAAAGAACAUUUGCUUGAAGCUCUUCACAACUGCACAUUCUCUAUCAAUCCCACCUUUCAAUUAAGUUCGAUCAGAUGUUUGGUAGUUAAAAAAAGAGUUGAACCUCUAUUAUACAACAUUUUGCUGGCAAAUGUUAGGAAAAAUUGCAACUUUUUACCGUGUAAAAUUGCUAACUUGAAAUUUUAUUACGAAAAAUUCUUAAUUACAAGCAUUUUGCUCAAUGAAGAAUUUUUGCAGCAAAAAUUGCGCAUCAAAUGAAUAAUAUUAGACAUCACUAAUGCUCCAAAUAUAACAUAAAUUGUUAUAUUACUCAAAAAAAAAAACAUAAGUUGUUGUAUUUAUAUGUUCUCUCUCUCAACACACACAGGCGCAAAAACACAUAAACGUUUGUGUACCUUCAUAAGCAUUUUUGUGAAAACAGCAACUUCAACAUCCAAAAUUUGUUUCUUAAACAAACAGAAAAACAAGACCUCUGUACAACUCCAAGCCUUCUGUUUCACCAAGAUUGUCUUCCCAAACAUGGAAGAGAAAGUCUAGCAUGAUUGAUAAGAGCCAAUCUGAAGCCUUGGAUGACCUGCCUAAAAAUAACCUUAGGACUCCUAACCAAUCGUUUUUGUUACAUUUGGCUUAAGUCAAUUAUGUUACAUUCGGCUUGUAAGACUGCUAAAGUACUAAAACAUGUUUUAUACACAAUUUUGUACUAAAAUGCAACCUUAUCACAUAUCCAAAUGUUUGUGAAGAUAUAGACUAAAAUUUACCCCAAAAAAAAAGAAAAGAAAAGAAAAAUCAUUUGAAGAAGGCAAACCCUCGAGUGGAUUUAGGCAGGUCAUCCUUGGCUAUCAAACAAGACUCUUUAUCUCCAUACAAGACCUCUCUCCCUCUCAUUUCAAGCACUGCACUUAUGCUUAAAGUAGCAGCACAAUACAACUGGCUAUAUAUAGGGGAGAGGAGGAAAAGAGAUUAGAUCCGAAAUGCCGCACGCAUAUGGAGUUAACUUGGCCCCAUAAUUAUUGACACAUUUUCAGCAUAUUCUUUGCUUUCAGACCUCGUACCACAGUUGACAUUAAUGCUAUCAGCCAAUUAUGCAUGAGGGAAUAGAUUCCACUAAGCGGUAGGGACCAAUCAUACCCAGUCCAUAUCUGGAUUUGAGAUUGGAAAAAUAGGGUCUAAAAGCCACAAGAUCAAUCCAACUUGUGCUGAAUCUUAAGUCCAUGCAAGAGCUAAGCCUGGUGUUCUUUAGUAGUAAAUCUUUCAUGGUAAUUAAAUUGGUUAAAAUGUCGUGCAGAGGUGGGAAAAAGUUACCCGUGGACUGAUAUCCAGCAAAUUACUGGUCAUACAUACCAAAUUAUUAUUAAUAAGUCUCUUUGGCUUGCAAAUUUUGGUCUCAUCCAAAAAAGAACUCACCUGUGCCACUAUAUUGUGGGAUAAGAGGUCAAUGGUUUAAAUCUUACCUUACCUCCUAUCAAUGUGCAACUAUAUACGUGACUUCUUCUAAAUCUAUACGGGUGCGUGGUGCACCCGUAUGAUCUGAUAGUGGUUCAGUUCUCAUUGAUUUUCUCGAUUUAGUUGGGCCACCCCCUAGAGUAAGUUAGAGUGAGAGUAGGAGUAGAUUAGACUAGAUGUGCCGUUAUCGAAAAAAAAAAAAAAAAAACACUCGCCUGAACAAAAUUAUCCGAAAUGAGUUGGGCAUGGUUGAGGUACUUGAUGCUCUCUUUAGGUCAUAUAGAGCUUGCCUUUCGGUUGGAUUGCUGAACAGGUCUCAUGGAGAUGGGCUAUGGUUGGACCAGAACAAGGUGAUUUCCCUCAUCAACGAGACAGGAAGAUUACGUAGGCAUAAUUGGUGAACAAGAAAUAAUUAACAUAGUACAGGGGGUUAUGUUCUUGUUUUUUGUUCGUAGGUAGGUACGAGAUGCCAUACCACUACCUUUUGCAAGGAAAGGAAAAGAUAAAUUAACAGAAAAGCUAUUGAUUGAAGGAAUUUAGAGAAUGGUUAUUGAAUUUUGUAUUCGAGAAUUUUUUUCCAUAAUUAGGAAAUUUGACUUGGACAGGAACUGAGUUACGUACUGAUAGCCAUGUUUAGGCGAGUGCAUCUUUAAUAAAUUAGUCAAGCACAUUUCCAACGCGAUCAAUUAGCGAAAAAUGGAUAAUUAUACUUGUCAAACUCCUUGGAUUAUGUUAAAUUUCGUUUUAAGAGCUGGUGUAAUUAACAUCUUCAAAAAUAAUAAAUCAGUUAUUACCCCUAAGACGUUGUUCGAUAGUUACAGUAAUCAAAUGACUGUGAAAUCUCUUACUCGACUCUAACACCCUCUCAUUUCCCUUUCCAUAUAAGGUUUAACCUCUCUAUUAAAAAAAGAUUAAUAACUGAAUUUGACUUCAAUACAAUUUUCAAGCUCGACGGCUAAAGGUUAAAAAUACUUUGGAUCGUGAAAGUUCAAAACCAAUAAGUGAUAGUAGAUAAGAAUAAGGCAUUUUUUCCGCUUAAAGAUAAAUGGAAAUAUAUAGACUUGAAACGUCUCUGGACUAGUUGAACUUUGCUUCUUCCGAGAACUUUGUUGAAGGUAGUCCUUCUUUUGUUUCUAUCCGAGAGAAUUACAAGCUCAAUUAUAGUUUAAGGACCUGUUGGAUAAUCCAAUUCAGUACUUAAAUUUACUGGAUUCAGAACUUAACAUAUUCAGACCGUUUGAUAACAAAAUAUUGAACAUCUGAAUUAAUUAAGUGACAUUGAAUUUUCUAGGCAAAACAUGCUCUCAAAAUUAAGUGAUAACCUAUUCACUUAUCACUGAAUGUGGUAUGCGUUCAAAUGUAUUAAAUUUGAUAUUUAACAAUUCAAUAACUUAAUCGAUUCACACUUUAGAUUUCAUAUUUCAGUUUUCAAACUUCAAUUUUAUCAGGUUAUUCAAGAAUCAAAUACCUUGUUAUCACGGGUAAAUCUUAUUCAGGAAAUAACAGUAUAGCCUUAAUAAUUAAAAAAAAUUUCUCGAAAUGCUUAUGAAUGGAAAUUCAUGUAUGGAAGCCCAUGCAGAAUUAUUCUACUUUGGUCAUAUUCCGCCAUUCCAAUGCUAUCCUUUCUAGGGCCCAGUCAAGGAGCUUUUGGUCCGACAAGUCCGUAUUGGCUUGGAAUCUUUAUUAAAAAAAAAAAAAAAUCAACCAUAAAAAGAGUAUGGAAGUCUCAACUAGGGAUAGUUUGCAUAAAAUCCAGUAGAUGGAAAUUAAACUAAAAAGACUGUCAUAUAAAGUUGAGGGAAAAAACAAGAAAUUCACCAUGGUAGAAAGUUGAAGCUAAGAUCGAGUUAAAUAAGCAAAGACAGGGGUGAUCAAUAUGUAAAAUAACAUCAAAAUGCUUUGGGCAAAUUUCCCUUUAUAAGCAAAUUAAGUGCAUUAAUCGCAUUACAUAUUUGAAAUUAACAAAAGAAAAUUAAUGAAUGUUAGUUCCUUUUUUUUCUUCUUUUUUUUUUUUUUUUGAAUUCCCACCUCUCCCCACACCCUUCCCAACCCGAACUGGAAUGAUAGCUCACCCUUGUAUACAACCCAGUUUAGCUAAAGAAUGCAAUCUAGAGCAAUGAAAAGCGAUUGCUUACUUUUACAAAAACAAGACAAGAGGAAUGGAAAAAAAGCAAAUUGUUUAUGUAUUCAGGUACUAGAAAACUAAAUAUGUACCAACUAAUAUACAUGGGUGAUAAUAGUAUUCUUCAAAAAAACAAUUUCUUUAUGCCAAACUUGUUUACUGAGUUAAUUAUGUGGCUCAACCCUACUAAUCAUGGCUUAUUAAUGCAGAUAUAUACCUAUUAAUCAUGGAUAAUUAAGAAACCACUAUAUCAUGCAUGCAUUGUCCAUAUUCUACUUUACGUGAGGGACGAUUGCUUAAUGCAGAUAUAACGGUUGCCCAGGAAAAUGACCAAAAAAAAAAAAAAAAAAUGGUAGGCAGCCCCCAAUUAUCUCUUCUACUGGGCGACUGAAAAAGUUCUGGUAUCUAUACUCGUGGAGUUGUACCAAUUUAGCACACUUUGAUUCUAGUGAUACAUGAUAUUGUGAAAUUAAUGGUGAAAUGUUGACAUUCAUAACGCUUCAAUUUCUCUACAGAUUGAAAGACAUUAGGUAAAACAAUAAAAUGAAAAGUGAGAAGUUGAUUAAUGAAAACCGAAUUCACAUAAGAUGGUGCAGGUUGAUGAUACUUAAAUUGUGCCAAUUUGGAAGAGAAAGUCGAGCAUGAUCAAUAAGAGCCAGUCAGGAUAGCCAAAGGAUGACGCCUAGAAACAAGCUUAGGGCUCCUAAUUCAAUCAUUGGAUCCUACACUUGGAUUCAGAGGGGCACAGCUAAAACAGUGAGAUUGAGAAGUAUAUACUAACAAGAAAAAAAGGGCAUUGAACCCUUGAGUGGAUUUAGGCAAGUCAUCCUUGGCUACCUAACAAGACUCUUGAUGACCAUUCAAGACAUCUCUUCCACCCCAUUUGAGCAAUGCAUUUCUGCUUACCAAUGCUGAAGUAUCAGAUGGCUAUUUAUAGGCAAUAAGGAGUUAAAAAUAUCAUUACCAAAAGUAGCAUGCAUGGUGGUUCUCCAUUAGUCGUCCUAUAGGAAUUGAAACAUGUUCAGCAAUUGUAUCUCUUUCUUAUUUCUCUAUUCGGCUGACCUACGUACACAUUUUAUCCACUUGUUACCAUAUGACAUGGUGGAAUAUAUUCCCAUUUGUAGAGGGACCAAUCAUAUUUCUGGGGAAUUAGGAAUACAGAAAGGGCAAGGCAAUAAUAAGUUGGCAAAAUCGGGCUGCAAAGCUCUUGGCCUGGGAAUUUAACUUUGUUUUGAAUCUGAAGUCGGUGAAAGAUUUCGAGACUCAAUCUUAAACAAAAUUAUUGGCUUAGGAUUUAGGAUAGUCUAGUAAUUUGUUACUGUAAACUUGCCUGAAGAUAUAAUCUUGAUUUUGGACAGUGUCUCCGAAUUCCAUUUCUUCUCUUUUUCUGGCACAAUAAAGAUGUGACAUACAGACUUAAGUCUGAAAUGAUUUACCUUUGGAUAUCUAGGUGAAUUUUAGAUUGUGCUACUGACAAUUAAGCAGAGAUUAAGCUGAUAUAACCCUUUAACAAACAUAUGUUGAUUGGGCCAGAUGGUAUUUUCUCAUAUACUAUACAAUUCAAAUCAAAAUUCAUUAUAAAGGUGACUCAUUAUCUACGUACAUUAAUUAUUGUAUAUACGUGUUGUGUAUUAUUUGGGACUAAAUCUCAAUCCAAUAAUCGAUUCACAAAUUGAUGCUGCAAGCCUGCAACUUGAGCCAUCUAGAAUUCCAUUUAUCCUAGUUUUCGGUCCUUCACUAAGAACCGUUCAGCAAUACUUUUUUUACACAAUCUAUAGUGAAAUAGUAUGACUUUGUGGAUAUGACAAAACUUAUGGAUCCAAGCUGUCACUUCCAGCAUGGUCAAUCCAAUUCCCCUUUGACAUGCCUCGAAAAGUUUGACCCUACUUUGAAGGAGAACCCGGAAAGAAGAAUAAAUUGAGGGCUUGAAAUGCUGAUUAUUAGGCAGGUUCAUCAUUCUAAAGAGACAAAUUGAUGCACCCUUGUACUGCAAUAUUCCUCCUGAUUUUGUAAGUUCAGUAUUCCCACUUUCAUCGAAGGAAAUCUAUGCCAUAUGUCCAUUGUCCAAUCAACAAGUAACAAUGCCAAUACGCUUUAAAUCUCAAUAAUGACCAAAAGCUUCAUCUAGCUUUGUUCUGUUUGACUUUUAAUUAUUCAAUCAGUUGGGAUUGAAUACGUGAUUCCAAGCUUCUCCAUCAAAAAAGUGAUGGAAGAGAUGAAUUUCCAUCCCCUAAUUUCUUGAAUAAAAGUUGUAUACUUUGGUUCUGUCAUGGGUUCGCCAGGGACACAAGAAUUCUCCAUGGAGUUGCAACGUACCUUUGAGUUUACCCUUGAUUUGUAGUCCCACUGCAUUAUUGAUGCGACUUGUUCAUUAAGAAUAGGUUUCCUCCUCUUCAGAAAGUUUUUGUUGGAAAUUUUUAUUUUUUUUUUUGCAGCGUCUGAUAGGAAUUGAUUGAAAGAGACAUAAUAUCCGGGACAACAUGAUUGAAACUCCAAACCUUUUUAGAAAAGUUUAGGUUGUUGGAGUAUCAUAUUAUCCCAAUGAGAUGGUUCCAAUAGCUUGUCUUGAAUUAAAAAGGGAUAAUUUUAGAAACCUCUCCUAAAAUUUCUAGCAAUUUCACGAAGCUCCUUCAAGAUUUUAAAACUAUGCUCACCUCCUCUAAUUUGACACUUUUAGUGACCAAACGUUAAAAUAGGUCAAAAAUUUAAUGAAUACCCUAAAAUGCUCUCAUCUAAUAAAGUCUAAUUUAUUAUUCUAAACAAUUAAUUGUAAUUUAGCACAAUUACAAAGAAAUGAGUUUCAAGUAUUUUGUGCCCGAUAUUUAUUAUUUGAUAAUAAAAUACAAAGAUAAAUUUCAUUAGGAUAAGCUUCUUUUAAUAGUGCAUUAUUAAAGAUAGAGAUUCUUUUUAAGAUGGAGAAAAAAGUGUCACCAUAAUUUUUUUUAAAGUUUGUGGAUUGGUCAAGUGGUAGAACUAUUAUAGUUUAUUAGUGAUUUUGGCCCAUUUAUUUUUUAUUUAUUAUUGAGUUUGAUAUCAAAAAAAUAAAUAAACAAAUAAGAGCUGAAAAAGAAUAAGAAGAUAUUUAAAGUUAUCAAAAAAAAAAUUACUAUUUUGACAUUUGAUCAUGAUGGAGGCUAGGGACUAAUAAUACUGGUGAUUUUGCUGACAGAAUAUAAGAAUAAUGAAGAAGAAGAGAAAUGGGAAAAAAAUGUAUAAAGCCCACCCUUUUUAAUUACGCAUACCAACUUCUUAUGAAAUUGGUACCAAGACAUUACACAUGCCCAAUUUCUUUGUCUAAUAUAUGUGUUUAUUGGACAAAUAUAUUCUCUAAAUUGUAGAUAGAUCUAACAUGCAAUUCUAUUAUGUUCUUAUAUUGCUUAAGACAUUUCCAAAAUCACUUUUUUCCUUAAAAUUUUUUCUCUGUUUUAGCAAAGAUUCUGCUAUUGCCCUUUGGCAUUUAGUUAUUUUUACCUUUCAAGUUUCCAGAAGUUCUUUAUUUCUAGUUUCAGAAAGAAAAUGUUAUAUCAUGAGUUUAAAUGCAAACACAUGUACCUCUUUAAAGUCUUGAUUAAAGUUUUCUUAAUACUAAAAAAUUAUUUUCGUUAAGAGCCCAUCAAGGUGAAAAUAUUAUAAUUACUUUCUCUAUAUUAAUUAUGAACAGAUUUAUACAAUUAUCCUUUUAUCAAUUAUUCUAGAGUAACAUUUUCUUUUCCAUCAAUUAGGACACAUAUAACGAAUAUUAACCCUUUAUUUGUUCAGUUUAAAAAUUGGAUAAAUCUUAUACACUGAGGAAUCUAAAUGCACGUCACAUAUGCAAAGAGAUACGGGCAUAGCAUAUGCAAAGUUUGAUAUUCAAAUUCAAAUUAAGAUAACAUGGCAUAUGUAUAAACCUAUCAACAUAUAUUAAUAACGUAGGAAAGAUUAAUUCUUAAAAAUUACCUAUGAAUAUCAUUUCAAUGGAAUAGUGUAAAUAACGUUUAGAAAACACUUUUUGGUACACCAUCAUGAACUAUCUACAGUGAAAAAAAAUCGAAUGAUUAAAUCUUUUAUAAGUAACCGCAGGAAUAUGUACAAUCUUCUCAUUUUAUUCAUAAAAGUUACAGGUGUGAACGUUAUUCCCCAUGUUCUACUUUUUACUCCUCAUAGAUUAGAGGCUUGUAGAAAAGUCUCUUAGGAGGCAAAUAUCUUACUGUUUAAUCUAGCUUUUCUAUUUAAACUAAGUUGAAAUUUCAGUUAAGCGUUGGCUUUAAAAUUAUGGGAGCCAAGUUCAUCAUUUGAAGGUUAAAAAUUAUACCCACGUACAUAUAAAAUUGUAGAGUAAGAAGGUUAAGACAAUUCUAUAUGCAUCACACGGCUAAAUUCUAAUAAAAUUGAUGUCUUAAAUUCCUGACAUAACAUCCAUAAAGCCUUCUUCCGAAGCACCCCUGAUUUCUGACCAACCAUGGGAAGAGAAGGUCUAGGAUGAUUGACAAGAGUCUAUCAGGUUAAGCCAAGGCAAGGAUGACACCUAAGAUCCAAUUUUAUAAGGUAAUUAGACACUUCGAAAUGCAAGAAAUGAAGCAGGUACAUUUUUAGCCGAGUGGGUUUAGGCCAGUCAUCCUUGGCUUACCAGCAUGAUUCUUUAUCUUCAUACAAGACCUUCCUUCCUCUAUUUCCAAAUGAUGCUUAGAAGUUAGAAAUAAUGCUAAGAUAGAAGUGGAAAUUUAUAGGCAAUAAGAAGUGAAAGAGAUGAGAUCCGAGAAUCCACACAAGGAGCCCUCUUGGCUCCAUAACCAGAAAAUUUUUAUCUCUUAUGGUUUUCAAAAUUUUCUUGUAUAAUUAUCCCCAUAUGCAUGGGAUGAAUAUGUGCCCGCUCUUGAAAGGAAGAACCAUGUCCAGUUGCGGUUCCAGAUUGGAAAAACUUGGUGGGAAAGCAACAUAUAUAUACUACUUUAUUUGUUCCAACUUGGUUGAAUCCCAUUCUUGCGCAUUAUAAAAAGACUAUCCAAGAAAAAUACUUUAUAACAAAAGGGAAAAAAAGAAGCCAAGUUUGAUUAGUUAUAGAAGUUGAGAAAUAAAAUAACAAAUUGUGGGAUGUUGUUUUUGCUCAAUUUAUCUAUCUAUAAAUCCAUCAAUGUAACAGUUAGAGCCUAUAGAUAAUAGAUGGUUGACAUUCUGAUCUGUCGACUUCUAUCUGGUUUUCUGCUUUGACAUUCGAAAUUUUAUUCUCAUAUAUGUUGAUCAAUAUUCCCCAAGCAAUCAAAAUCCAUCACAAAUGUCCACUUGACUUAAAAUGUCAAUGCUCCAAGUAGUAAGCAAACAUUGGUUAGUAUUAUUUUGCUUCACUUUCAAGCCUUCAACUCUUGGCUUUGAACUAAUUCGGUACCGGUUUUGCCAAUACAUAUGUCCACAUCGAUCGGCAUGGACGCUGAUGUAGAACAUCCAAGAACUAAAUUUUAGCACUAAUCUGUUCCUGUAAUUAUCAGCUAAAUACCCACCACCAAAAAAAAAAUUGCAAAUGAAUAUGGAUACCAUAUUACCUUGUGAUGGAAGCUUCUUAGGACUCUCUUGACGUUCAUUACAAGGAACUCUUGGGCUUUUGAAGAUAUAGUAUUCCCUUCUCAAGUUUUACAUCAGAUCUUUUGUCAUUUGCUAUCAAAAUGUUUGUUUUCUGUAAAGCAUUAACAUGGAAUUUGGAGAGGUAAUGGAUCCAGGGAAACCAGGAGGGGCCCUCCCCUUUUCCAGUUUUUAUUCCUUUUAAAAUUAGAAAUUUUUAGAGCAUUCUUUAUAUAUUUAAAGUUUCACCCCCACAAAAACUUAAAAAUAUUUUUUGUUAUGCAUAAAAAGUUUAGGUAUACUCUCUCGAGAUGAAUUUUGCGGCUCUGUCUAUAAUUCGGAGUGCAGUGCACUAGAAGUUCAAUCCAAUAUUUUGAAAUAAAUUAAAAGCCGAUGGUGUUAUGACAACCCAAAAUGAGUGUUAUAUCAUCAACCAAAAGUGACUUACAUCCCGUUUGGCAUUGUAGUAUCUUAUAAAAAAGCACUUCUAAUACAAGUUUUUUGUAACAAAAUUACUUUUAAGAUAACAUAAACUGGACUCCUUAAAUUACGAGAAAUUAGUUAUCAAACACCCUAAAAGUGCUUUUAGUAUUUAAAAGCAUUUUUAUUUUUAUAAAUGCACCGCAGCCCCAAACGGAAUUUUAGUAGUCAGGAUUAAAUAACUACUUUUAACUUUCUUGCAGUACUUGGGAAAGGGACAAAAAAUGUUUGACUUUAAAAAUUGUGUUAUGAUUGAUGUCAUAUAAAUACUUUGGACGGAUGCAUUGGGGCGUGCUAAUGCAGAAUUGGGGUGCCUGUGCAUGUCUAGUACGAGCAUGGUUUUGUUUUGUACAUGUUCUAGGUAGAAAUUUACUCAACACGAAAUGUUUUCUUUUCCAUGCUGGCUCUUCUGUGUUAGGGAUACUUCUCUAUAAACUGUCCAAUUAAGCAAGAACACCUGUAAAAAGCCGUGAUGUAUAAACCAAAUUUUUAGAUAUUCGGGCCUCAAUCUUGAUCAAUAAACCAAAUUUCAUUUGCUUGUGUUAUAUGCACUAUAAGCACUAACAAUUGUUUAAAAAAAGAAAAAAAGAAAUUUUCUGAUUCUAUCAUAAGAGUGGAGAUGAAUAUAAUAUCAAAUGUAGUAUGGUUAAAAAUAAUAGUAAUGAUUCAUAACAGAUAUGUUGUGAUGUUCAAAUCUUUUCGUUCUAUUCUUUUUUCCAUCAGGUAUGAUGGGUCCCUAACCACCUAAGACUACAUAUUUAUCUAAUUAGGAUUUAUGUACAUACUUUCAUUUCACUUUCCUUUUUGUUAAAAGUCGAAGAAAAUGAAAUAUGAUUAUGCACAGGAAUUCAAGCAGACAAAAUUGGCUGAUCCUGCGGUAAACAGGCAUCAGAUGUGGUAGUAAUUUCAACUAAUUAAGAUCGUCAAUGAACCAGACAAGAAUCGGAUAAGCAAAUCAAAACCAGUUUUGGACUGGAUGUACAAUUUUUCUCAAGGGAUUUUGAGCAUUUUGACCUGAAUGGAACCGCCGGUUCAACCUGUGAUUUGGCUGUUUCCUUUCUUCUACAUGUUCAUAAACAUUUUCCUGAAGCUCUUCACAUUCUUUAUUCAUCCCACCUUUUAAUUAAUUAAGUUCGAUCAAAUGUUUGGUGGUUAAGAAGGAGUCGAACUUCUGCUGUUAAAGAUUUUUACUUGCAUGAUGUGUUAAAAAGAGAAACCAACUUUCUUGAUUCACCAAAGAGAAGCAAGAAAGGUGUAUCAAAUGAAUAAUAUUAGGAAUCAGAAAUGCCCCAUUUAUAACAUAAGUUGUAUCUACAUGUCAUCUCUCUCGAUACAUGCAGGAGCCAAACACAUCUAUGUAUUUGUGUGUACAAUUUGUGAGACAACAGCAAGUUACAUAUCUAAGAUAUGCUUCUGAAAUAAAUGGCGAAGUAAGACCUGUCUGUACAAUCAAGAUAUUGUCUUCCCAGUCAGGAAUCCGCAUGAUCCAUCCAUGGAAGAGAAAGCCUAGCAUGGUUGAUAAGAUCUGGUUUGAAUAGCCAAGGAUGACAGGCCCUAAAAGCCCCUUAGGACUCCUAACUUUUUUUUUUUUUUUUGGGGUAAGCCUUAUGGCUCCUAAUUGAUUGCUAAUAUUACGUUUCGAUUAAAUUUAUGUUCCGUUUCGGCUUUUUGUAGUUUUGUGGACAAUUUAAUACUCAGUUUGAGUACUAAAAGACCAUUAAACUCUGAUUUAUACGAAAAUGAUAACCUCCCUAGUCUCCUCGUCACACAUCAAAAAAUAUAUAUAUUUUUUUUUGAAGAUAUAACCAAAAGAAAAAAAAAUUUUGAAAAAGGACACCUUGUCUUGCCAACCCAAACCCUUGAGUAAAUUAGGCAAGUCAUCCUUGGAUAUCAGACAAGGCUCUUUAUCUCCAUACAAGACUUCUCUUCCUCUUUUUUCAAGCUCUGCACUCACCCUUGCAAUAGUGGUAUAAUAUAACUGACUAUAUAUAUGGGCGAAAAGGCAAAGAAAUUAGAUCCGAAAUGCCGCAAAUUGAGCUCACUUGGCCCUGUCAUUGUUUUAUUUGGUUCAGUUUUCAUAACACAGUUGACAAUAAUGCAAUUAUCCCAUUGUGCAUGGGGGAAUAUAUUCCACUCUGCAGCAGGUACAAUCACAUCCAGUCCACAUCUGGAUGUGAGAUUGGAAAAAUGGGGUCUAAAAGCCACAUCGUCAAUCCAAACCCAACUCCUGCUGAAUCGUCGAGUCUAUUCAAGAAAUAAGCCUGGUGAUCUUUAGUUGUAAACCUUUCAUGGUAAGUUGGUGAAAGUUUACUUAUCAAAAAAGAAUAAUGGUGAAGAAUUUUUGCAGACAUUGGAAAAACCCCUCAACUAAUAUCUUGCAAAUAAUCAGUGCCCAAAACUCUUAUCUCAGACAAUUUACACCUUGGGAGGUAUGAACCGUAUUUGAAUUACAAACAUCAGUCAACUAUUCCUUAUUACUUAAUGCCGCUAAACUAUUUGCUUAAUCCGUAAACUAAACAUCUUCUCAUCCGAUUUUCUAAAUAUCAGGCGAUGGAGAGUAACAAUUAAGAGUCAUAUGUGUCUUUCACUCUCAAUACUAUCAAUGGUACGCCUUAAUGCUACCCAUGCAUUCCAAAUUGGUGAAAAAUGCUAAAAAUUCUGUUAAUGUUUGGGUCGAAAAUGUUGGUGUUGCCAUCUUUAAUGUGCACCAGUAAUUUUGUCCUGACCAAAAGUUGUGCACUGCCUAGGUAAAACGUACAAUAUAUCUUGGGAGCAAUAAAAUAGAUGUGAAUUCUGUAUGAUGAAAAAUAUCACUAGCUUUGGAGGCAUUAUGGAGUUAUCUUGAAGUUGAUUUUCUUGUGAAUUACUUAAAUCUAUGAUUGAUUUUUUUUGCCCAUCAUUUGAAUUACUGAAUAGGUCUCAAGGAGGCUAUGGUUGGACCAGAGCAGUGUAAUUCCCCUUACCAAAGAGAAAGGAAGAUUACGUAUGAAUAAUUGGAGAAACAAGAAGCAACAUAUAUGGUAUCAAGGGCGCUUAUAUACUUUUUUUGUACGUAGCUACGAGAUGACACAUCCCUACCUUUUACAUGUAAAACAUAAAGUGACAGCAGUUAUAUUGAAGGAAUUGAGAGAGUGGUUGCAGAAUUUGCUAUAGUGAAUCAGAAUUCUACAUGGGCAAAAACUUAGUUGGAUUAUUUUUUUUUUUCCUCAAAUAUCAGUAGGUUGAGUGGAAUUUACAGAUAAAAUUACGUUUAUACAGUUUUUUAACUCGAUUGAUCCGCAUGAAAUUCAAAGGGCAAAUUAUACUUUACCGCCUGUAGUAUAGCUAAUUUUUACAUUAUCCUCCUAUAGUUUUAAAUAAUCCCCGCUCAUAGUUUGAAUUAAAGUGUCAAGGUAACGAAAAUAAUCAUUCGUAAUGGAACCUAUGAAAAUAUCAAAAUUAUCUUGUUUAAAAACUAAAAUGGCUGAAAUAAUCAAAAUAUAUAAACAUAAUAUGCAUGACACUCUAAUCUCGUAUGAUUUUAUAUUUUACCAUAUAACUCCCUUAUGAUUUAGUACUUUACCAUAUAGCCCCUUAUAAUUUUCAAUAUAUAUACAUAACCUCCCUGUGAUUAAUAAAUAAUUUUCAAAUUUACAUAAUGGUAUUUUUGAUAUUUUAAUUGACUCUAUUAUAGAUUGCAAAUUCCGUUACUUUAAUACAAACCAUGAAAGGGUUAUAUAUAACUUUUGAAACCAUAAGAAGGUUAUGUAAACAAACACUAAACCACAGGGGAGUAAAGUGUAAUUUGCCCAAAUCUAAAAGAAUCAACAAAGUGCUGAAAUAUGAAGCGUAAUACCAUAGUGUAAGAACUCGUACAAAAACAAGUAGGUCUUACGCAAUUCCAUUUUAAUAAAUUAGUCAUACCCGGUUUUAAUUUAUGUAAUAUCUCCCAAAAAAAAAGGUAACUAUACAUGCGAAAUAGCUUGGACAAUGAUAUAUUUCCAUUACAAGCUGGGGUAAACUUGGCAAAAAUAAUAAAUAAGUUGACCUCAAAUACAAUUUUCGAACUCAUUAAAGAUGAGACAUACUUUUUUUUUAUAUAUAAUCAUCAUAAUUCCACUGUAUCAAAUGCAGAUUAUUGGCAGAAAUAUAUCAAACAUGCAACAGACCAAAAGAUCUUAAAAAUUACCAGGUCUGAAAAAUUAAAGAUGACACAUACUUGAUCUGCAUCAACUUUGCUCAUCCUACUCUUGGAUGUUCAAAAGAGAACGAGUGAUAGGAAAAAAAAAAGUCAUUUUUCCCAUUUAAUGGCUGAAUAAAUGUAGCAAGAUCACUAAAUCAUUGCUUGGCAAAUAUGAAUCUAGACUAGAAAAGUCAGGACUAGUUUAACUCUGCUAAGGCAGACUUUCUUAUGUCUCUUUACAGGGAGAACAAAAUUACAAGCCUAAUUCAAUUGAAGUCAGAUUAUUUGAGAUUCGAACACAAUAAUAAUAACCUUGUAGUGAAGGGUGGAUCUUAUUCAGAAAAUAGAAGUGCUAGAAAAGUACAACCUCGAGAUUUGAUAUAUUUUUCUUGAAAAAAAAAAUUUUUUUAUUUUUUUUUGGUCAACCCCCACGAUGCAUGGAAAUUCACGUACCGAAGCUCAUCCAGAAUUAUUCAUAAACCAUUUCGGAUGGAAUGCUUUCAGAACCCAGGAAAUCAAAUAGAAUUCAUAGAACCGUAAAACAGGAUAUGAAACUUCCAUAAUAGGAUAGCUUGCAUAAAACCUGUUGUUAAUGGAAGUUAAACUCGAAAGAAACACACACACACACACACAGACAAAGAACUUGCAAGACUAUUCAUAUAAAGUUGGGAAACAGAGAGAGAGAGAGAUUAACCAUGUAUGUAGAAAGUGUAGUAUCCAUUCUUUUCGUUUUAAUUAUGAUCAAGUUAGAGCAGUAGUGAUAGGAGUGAUGAAUAUGUGAAAUAAAAUAUAUUUAAAAAAAAAUUUCUGGACAAAUAUUCACUUGACAAUAAACUAGAAUUUUUAUGAACAAUUUAGGAGUAUUCAAUGCAUUACAUGUUUCCAUUUAAAAAUGAUAUUAAUUAUCAAACUUUGAAAUAUUUGCAAUCUAGAAUAAUAUUAUGUGAUUCAUUUCAUUAGGGAUACACUUUUACGAAAUAGAUGAUACAAAAAUGCCAAUUAAAAUGCUCAAUUUCUCGUUUGUUUGAUGCAAGAUGUUUGUAAGCAGGAGAUUCUGGAUUCAAAACCUCCCACUUUAUUCUUAAAAAAAAAAAAUCUUCCUACCAUACUUGUAAACAGAUUUCUUUGUGUGGCUGAGCAAGUUAUUCUUUUCAAUAAUAUGACCAAAAAAAUGGAAAACCCAAAACGAGCUCGCUGAUAUUCCCAGUUCCCUGACUUUGUCAACCCGUACAACCAGGCCCACUUUGGCAAUGGGUAAUGAUGCAGGCCCAAAGAUAAUCAAGAAGCCAUUAGUCAUCCAUUUCUGGAUUUUACUUUUUAUUUAUUUAUUUAUGCAUGAAAUAUCGUUCAUGGCUUCAUGCAAAUAUCCUGGUUGUCCAGGAAAAUGUAUGUUGAAUUAAAAAAUAAAACCUACUAAAAAAUUUUUUUAAAAAAAUAAAAAUAAAAAUCAACCCAAUUAACUCUUUUUUUUUUUUUGGACGAUCAAAAAAAUUAAGGUAUCUGUGCUCAGAGUUGGAGAAACUCUAUGACAAACUUCAAAUGGGACUUACCUCUGUUGUGAGCUGCAAUUUAUUAAACUGCAGAGCUUAACAGAAAUUGAAUGACAUUAAUUAUGCGAAAAAGAAAAGAAAAGGAUGGAUUAAAACCUGAUUAAUAAGAGCAGAAUUUACAUAAGAAGGUACUGGUUGCUCCAGAAGUUGCUUCCAUCCAUGGAAGAGAAAGUCUAGCAUGAUCAAUAAGAGCCAGUCAGGAUAGCCAAAGGAUGACGCCUAGAAACAAGCUUAGGGCUCCUAAUUCAAUCAUUGGAUCCUACACUUGGAUUCAGAGGGGCACAGCUAAAACAGUGAGAUUGAGCAGUAUAUACUAACAAGAAAAAAAGGGCAUUAAACCCUUGAGUUGGCUUUAGGCAAGUCAUCCUUGGCUACCUAACAAGACUCUUGAUGACCAUACAAGACAUCUCUUCCACCCCAUUUGAGCAAUGCAUUUCUGCUUACCAAUGCUGAGGUAUUUAUAGGCAGAAAUGAGCCAACAAGAUCAUUACCAAGCGCAGCAUGGUGGUUCGUUCCCCAUUAGUCCAAUUGACACUCGUUCAGCAUUUGCAUCUCCUUCUCAUUUCUCAACAUCUGUUGACCUAAAAACGUAAUUUUCAAAACCACUUGUCACCGUGCGACAUGGUGGAAUAUAUUCCUCGUUUUAGAAUAAGGACCAACUAUGUUUCUGGGGCAUACAGGAAAGGCUUGGCAAAAUAUUGGGUCAAACCUCUUGGCCUGGGAAUCUGAAGUUCCUGUAAGAUUCUGAGGUUCAAGCUUAAACAGAAAUUUUGGCUUAGGAGGACUUUUCGUCACUAUCUCUCAAUUGUAUCUCUACAUUUCUUUUUCUUUUUUUUCUGACUCAGAUAAAAAGUGGUAUACAAACUUAUAGUUCUUAGAUGAUUUACUUUUAGAUAUCUAUUUUAGUAAUGAUUUACCAUUAGGUAUCUAUUUUAGUUUCAGAUCGUGCAAGUGACAAUUAAGCGGAGAUUAAGCUUUUUUUUUUUUUGCGGCAAAUCCUGUACACAGGGUGGGGAUGCCAACCCCUAAUUUUAUUAACCAGUAGCAUGAAUACAAAGAGUUUAAGAAAGAAGUAGUAUAAAGCCCAAGACGUAACUACCUAGCUAGAUUACUCUUUGACAACUUACAUGCGUACUGAACAAAACUCUCGUGCUAGAUGGUAUAAGCGGAGAUUGAGCUGAUACAAGCUUUUUGGAAACAUAUGGCCAUCGUGCUACAUGGUAUUUUGUGAUCAUAUACUAUACGAUUUUGAUCAAAAUUCAUCAAAAACAAAAGAAAAAAUGUCACAUUGUAUAUUGUAUAAUUGUAUACAAGUGUUGUCUAUUGGUUGGUACUGAAUCUCAAUCGGCUACUGGACUCAAAUUGAUGCAGCAACUUUAGCCCUCUACAAUUCCAUUUAUAGCCAGUCUUUGUCCCUCCACUAAAGGACUUUGUGGUUACGAGACUUAAAAUCUUAUGGAAUAUGGAUUGAAGCUGUCACGUCCAACAUGGUUAAUCCAAUUCCUUUUUGACAUGCCUUGAAAAUUUUGACCUUACUUUGAAGACAAAAGGCGAAAAGAAGAAUAAAUUAAGGGCUUAAAAAGCUGAAGAUUAGGCAACUUCAUCAUUCUAAAGAGACAAAUUGACACUAGAAUUUUUCCUCGUGAUUUUGUGAAUUCAUUAUUAUUCCCACAUUAUCUACAGACUAUGCCAUGUGUCCACUCAACCAUGUCAAUGCUGUUAAUAAUGACCCAAAGCUUUAGCUUUGUUCUGUUUGACUUUCAAGCAUUAAACAGUUGGGAUUGAACGGACGUGAUUCCAAGCUUCUUCAUCAAAAAAGUGAUAGUACAAGAAAAUGAGGUUUGAUCCCAUUUCUUAGUGCAGCUGUAAACAUUGGUUCCAUCAUUGGUUCAUCAAGGACCCAAGAACUCUUCCUGGAGUUGUGACGUGCCUAGAGUUUACUUACCCUUCAUAGAGUUUUUCAGUCCACCUGCAUUAUUGAUGCCACUUGUUGAUAAUAGGUUUGCAACCCUUCAUAAAGUUUUUGUGGGAAAGGGUUUUUUUUGCAGCGUCGAAGAGGAAUUGAUUCAAAGAGUAUGCAUAAUAUCCGGGACAAUAAUAUGUGAUUCUAAGUUUUUGUUGGAGUAUUGUUUAAAAAAAAAAUGCAGAUAGUUCCAAUUGUUUAUCUUCAAUUAAAAAUGCAAUUGUAUUAAAUAUGAAAAGCAAUCAGCUUUGUAAAGGGCUAACUUUAUCUUUUCUUAUAACGAAAAGGAUUAAUAGUGGCUCGCCACUUACUCCCUUUGUGACUCGAUCUCGUAUAUCCCGUAAAUUUCAAAUAAAGCGUCUUACCAACUAGACUGCAUUUCGUUGUAAAUGGCUAAACUUUACAGAUGUCAAAUUCAUUGCAAAAAGAAAAUUAGUACGUGAACCACAUCCAUAAGACUAGAUUUAGUCGGCAACUUUUUUUUUUUUUUUUUGACAAAAAGUUGGAGAAAAAGAAUAAACAAUAAAUGAGUAAAGCUAAAUUUGGGUAGAGUUACAAAAACCAGUAAUGAAAUUGGACCGAGAUGGAUCAAGUUUUCCGGAAGGAUUUCUAUCUAGAACAGCGCACUGUGUUUUCCGAACAAGCCACAUAGUUGGCCUACAAUUGCUUCAUGGAAAAUGAAUUUGCCCUACUAAUGUAAUCAUAUCUGGCUCUGCCUUGGCCCAUUAUCAUUUGGUGUAACAAACUUACCUCAGCCCCUCAAAUCAUAUGAACCCAAAACAUGCUCAAUCUUGGCCCACUGUAAAACAUGCUCAAUUUCGUGGUAUUGUUAGUUUGUUACUUUAGAAGUGGCUGAGGCAACUGCUGCUAGGGAAGCUAUCUUUCAUCUUCCACAAUUUAUUCUUGAAGGUGAUGCGCUGAAAAUCAUUCAUAAUCUGCGCUCUACUGAGGAUGCCUUUUCUGCAAUCGGAUCUUUGAUUGAUGAUAUUAGAAUAGCUCUAUCAGAUCACAUCUCUAUGAAUGUAAAUUGGGUUCCUAGGGAUGCAAACAAAGCAACUCAUGAAUUGGUUUUUCGUGCCAAAUCAUGUAACUAUGCUAAAUCGCUCUGGAAUUCUCCCAUAAUUUUGCUCGACGAUUUCCAGCAAUUUUAGUAAUAAAAUUUAUUUUUCUUAUCAGAGAAAAAAUGAAACCAUGUCUAUCAUUAAAUUUAUUGCGAUUGCAACGUAAUUCCAAAUGCACAUUUUUUAAAGAUUUGCAUACAUAGUUACAUAUCCAAAUGUUUAAACCUAAAAAGUUUUAUGAACCUGAGAUCCCAAUUCAUGGUUACGAACAGCUCACCAAAUCAUUCAUUAGUUUGGACUUAUCUACGUGUGGAUCAACGGGCAUGACCUGAUCCAAUCUAUCCCACAGGUUGUGGGGCAUAUUGCAGAAAAAAAUUGAAUGUGGAAUAUUUUCUUCAUCGUGUUUACAUGGCCAGCCAGCACAAAUUUUACAAGAGUGGCCAUGAUCGUUUUCGUAAAAAUAGCAAUUCACUAAAAUUUAGCAAGUGUUGCAUACAUUAAAAAAAAAAAAAAAAAGCACCUAACAUAAAUUUUUGGGAAAAAAAAAAAAAAGAAAUCGUCAGAGGCAACUGUUGUAUACAUUACAUCAAUUGGUAAUAACUAGCUUUUGCAUUUCUUGAUUUUGUUACGUAAGAUUUAACUGCUCUUACCAACCUCACCAGCCUCAACAUGAUGAAUAAGCACCAAUUUUCUCCAAAUUUAAAAACACUUAACGUAAUUGACCGUUCUAUUAAUAGAAGUUGAGCUAAAAAAUUGGUUUAAUAAACAAAUAAUAGCACACUUAAGCAAUCUAAUAAACUAAGACGCUUUGGUAUACUUGCUCUAUAUUAGUUAAAUCUAAUAAUCUAAUUGUAAUCAAUUCGUGUUGACGUUUGAUAAUAACUUCUACCAAUCUAUAUUAAGUUUUAAAAUAUUGAAGUCAAUGGGACUAGUAUACAUAUAAAUCAAAUGAACUAUGAUUAGGUCAUCAUUGAGAAUUCAAUUUGUAUAUAUUAAUUAACCAUCUUAAUCAAUUAAUUGAUAUAUGCUUUGCUUCACACCACCCAAAGUCCAAAUAAUCUAUUGCAUCAUUAUUGUUAUCGUCAUGGAUCUCUGAUUUAAUUAACUUAAGAAAUAGUCAACAAAAUGGGCCUGAUCCUCAACGCGUCAAUCAGGCAAAUUAUCAGUUAUAUGUUCUGGAUUUGCUUUUUUUUUUUUUCCUAGAGAUCUUAAAUUGUAAACAGAUCUUCUGUUUCGCUCUUUGUUUCACUUUCAGUCUCAUUUUUUAUUAUAUUGUUAUUUCUUAUUAAUAAACAUCAUAUUUUAAUUCUUUUUUGUUUCCUUAUGUUCCAAUAUCUAUUAACUGAAUAAUACACAAAUUUUAACAAGCUCAAAAAAAAAAUCAAAGUACAUAGAAAAUGAUAUUUUUUUAUCAAUUUUUUUGUCAUAUUUUGUAAUUUUUAUUAUAUAUUGCUUUUUUUUUGAAACUGUUGUAUUUAUUUUUUAUUAUAUUAGUAGUUAUUUAAUAGUAAGAAGUACAAAAAAUUAAAAUAUAGUUUAUGAAGGAAAGGUAGUUAUGUAAUAAAAAAUGAAACAGAUAGUAAAACAGGAAGUGAGGUUAUCUUGCUGUGUUCAAUGAAUCAUGAGCCUGCGGUCAGGUGUACACAGGAACAUGGGAAGUAAUUUCUUAUUGAAUUGUUAAUCUCACCAGUUGGAAAUUAGUAGAAACGUUUAGUGCUAAAAACAAAGUAGCUACCUAAUUAUAACAAGUUUACCUAGAAGCGCGUGUAAUUUAUUUAAGAAAACGAAGAUUUCCAUUUUCAUUGUCUAAUGAAACUUCACAAUCUCUCCCUCGAAUGGACUGUAAAUCCUCACAUGUGGCUAAAAAAGUUGUAGAAGCCUUGAUUUUGUAUUUAAGCUUUAGGAUGGACUUUGACCAACUAAUCUGCUUUUCUUUGUUUUUUUUGUUACUGAUUCUUGAUCGGUUGGGUACCUCAAGGCUCAAAUUAAUUUGUCAAGUUUAUUCCAGAAUUUGUUAUUUUUAUUAUUUGACAACUUGAAAACAACAGCAUUGCCUUCCUGACAAAAUUGACAAUUAAAAAAGCUUCCCUUGUUUCUAAACUAAUCUAUAGAAGUCUUUUUAUCCUCCAAGACAAAAGGUGCCAAAGGAAACAAUUACUUUAUUUACGUAUGAAAAUUUUGAUCUAUCUGAAUUAGGAUUAUUUUAUGACAUGUUAUAAAAAAGAUUCGCACGUUUUACAAUUUUACAAGAUUGAAAACUACUUUUGUCUUUUUGGAGAAAAUGUUGUAUGUCAGACAUGCCCAUGAUUGAGCUUGGACAUUUUAUUUCUUGUGAAGAGAGCUCUCAACUAGGAGUGCAAACGAACGAUCGGCUCGAGUCGAAUUUGAGGUCAAAAUAUUAAGCUCGUUAACUAGCGAACCAGAUAUAUAUAUAUUAUUUUAAUAGUAUAAUUACAUAUAUAUUUUUAAUAUUUUAUUAUUUAUUAAAAAAUAAUUAUUUAUUAUUUUUAUUAGAUUAAUUUUCAGAAACUCGAGCUAACGAGCUGCUCACGAGUCAAAAAUUCGAGUUACAUUAUGAGCUGACAAUUCGAGUUGCUCGCGAGACUUGUCGACUUGAGCUCGAGCCUACCUAUUAUUGAGUUGAGCUCAGCUCGAUAAAUCUAAAACUCGACUCAACUCGAUUCAUUUGCAGCCCUACUCUCAACGCUACAUAAUCGGACCAUGUUUUUUAAUAGAUAAUUUUUUUUUUACAAUUUUACCUAUAAUAAUCAUCUAAAAAUAUCUCAAAGUUUUGAAUAUACACACUCUAAUAUACCCAAAAAACGCACAAAUUUUUUCUUUAUUUCCUUUUCUUCUUCUUUUUCUUCCUCCUCUUUCAUCUCAACCCACCACUAGCAUCGACACCUCCUCUCUCCUUUCUCUUUUUUGACUCCUCUCCUCCUCCUCUCCCCACCCCUCCCGUUGUAUGGCUAGAGAAGGAAGGGGUGGGAGAAAGAGAGUGUGAGAAGAAAAUAGAGAAGAAGAUAGGAGAGAGAGAGAGAAGAAAAAAGAAAAGAAGGUGGUCGCGCUAGCCGGCGGUAAAAAGGGAGGAAGAAGACCAAUGGCACUAUGAGAAGGAAGGAAAAGAAAGAGAAAAAAAAAAAGAGACAAAGAAAUUUUUUCUUCAAACUUUAAAAUACAUGUUUUUCUAUAAUUUCUAUAUAGUAAAUUGCAAUAAAAUUUUAUCUAAAUACCCAAGAAAAAAACCUCACCAGUCAAACCAACCUUUUACUAUUUGACUUUUGACCAAAAAAAAAAAAAAAAAACCUACCUUUUAGGCUUUUACUAUUUGAGGUUCACCGGUGCCUCCAGCCUUUGGAGCCCGACUUUCAUCAAGUCAACCUACGAUCGAGUUGACCUGCGUCGAGAUAGCUACGUGCCAGUUAAAAAAGUUACCAACAGUACCAGUAAUCUUAACUGCCUCAUCAAACCCUCUUUUUUCUCACUUUCAGCAAAAGUGGCUGGCAGCCAAAUCCCUCCUUUCCUUUCUCUUCCUUCUGUAUUUUAAUAUUAAUUAACCCUUUUUUUUUCACUGCCGCCGCUCAAAAGAAUCAGCCCGUGAAACCAGUAAACUUUUAACCUUUAAGGGGCACUACGAGAAAAGAAAAAUGCCGACAAACGUACGCUAAAAUAACUAUUUAACUGACUGGAAUAAUACCAGUACGUACUACUUUGAUAAGGUCUAUAAGAAAUUCAUAAUUACAACUGUAAAGUGUAAGAAUCCCACAACAAACAGAUUCCUUCGCGUAAGGGGAAUUUAUAUCACCCGCAUGCCAAUGCCCAGUUUUAGUAGUUAUUAUAUUUUAAUGCACGACCCAAUCCUGUUAUCAAUAUGUAGUAAUAUUUAUUUAAUCGUUGAAGUAGUUUCUCUUUUAUUUUCAGUUUGGAUUUGCUUAAGGUUUAGGUUAUAGGCUAGCUUGCCUUGUACUUAUUCGUAUUCUUAGAUCAAGUAUCUCAGUCCAACUACCCAGUGACCUUAUUAAUUAUUAUCAAAUUAUUGAUUCUUUAUCGGUGAGUUAGCCACCACUAUGAUAUUUUUAUGUUUCUUGAUGCUUUUGUAAGUUUUUAUUUUGCACCCCCAUUGUUAACAUUAACCCAUGAUUGUUACGAGGGAAAAAAAAGACAAUCAGUGCUUAAGCUACAUGUAUGUACGUGUAACGUAAUUUGAAGUUUAUCUGAGGUUGAGGCUGUAAGCAAAUUAAGUUACUUUCAAGUUAUACUCUUGUAAUUCUAUCAAAAACUCGACAAUAUUCAGCCUUUGAUGAAAAUUGAGUUGAGCUUGAGAGGCAUUGGAGGUGAGACUCAUAUUUUAAAAACUUUAAAGAUUAGUUUAACUCACCGAAAAGUCGAUUAUCAUAAUUCAUAUGAAAAAUCUAUGAUUUCCUUAAAGAAAAAAAAAUCUCAAUAUCAUUAUUUUGUAUUUUUUGAGCUUAAUUAAACCUAAAUUAAGUUUGAUAGAGCUCAACCACAAGUUAAAUUGAAUUUCAGUGAUGAUAGAAUAUAUGCUCGUCAAGCUCGAGUUUGUUAGUAACUCAAUAAAUUCGACUGAUUUUGAAACACAAGCAAUCCAAUUAUUAUUGAAGUUCAAUUUGGGUAGAGCAUCAAUUCAAAAUCAAUUCAGCUUGUUAAUAUGCCAUUUUAUUGGUGCAAACGGAAAAAAAUGAGUAGAAAUCAACAAAUUGGAGUAAUUCUCUAAAUUGUAUAGUCCAUGCAAUUUGGACGAUAAAUUUGACAAAAUCCGGAAACAAGAAGAGGUCAAUUUCAUUGGGAAAAAUCAAAAAAGAAAAGGUCAAAUUCAACCAACUCGGUUACCCACAACUGACAACUCAUGCAAUGGCUGUUACGUUAAAUGUGUAACCGUCAGUAAGGCUAAAGGGCUGACGAGGAUGAACCAUGAAGAGAAGGCAGAAGGAACCUGGAAACUUUACAUAGUCUAUCUGUCUUGUGUCCUUGAGAAAAGCAUCGCUAUCAUUAUAGUAUAAUUUAUUGCAACAGAGUAAGGAUCCCAAACCCCACUUCUUAACUACACCCUCAAAGACUCUGACCUCCUUUGGGCUCGUCUCCCAAUUCUGGCACCCAUUUCCUUCUUACUUCCUAGUUUGAGCGCGUGCCUCCAUGCCUUCAUAUUUUCUCUAGUUUUGUUUUUUACUUGUCACGAUGGAGUUUAAUUAUAUGUAAACACUCAUCCUAACCGUCUUAUUUGGAUUGCUUUUUUUUUUAUUACUUUAUGAAUACAUUUUGUAGUCACUUUUUUUUUUUAACUUAUAUCACAUUUUAAAAAGUAUUGCAUUCAUAGUUUCUCUAAAAAUUCUUCAAAAAUGUAAUCCAAACAAUCUAUUCUUUUCUCUAAUAUUGAAGUGUGUUUCAUUGCUUUAGUGUGAAUUUUAUGGUCAUUUAUUCUUUUUAUUGAAAUUUGACCUUAUUACUACUUAGGAUUUUGCUUGAGAGGUCCUUUCAUAUUUAGUUUUCACAUUAGAGUAUUUCAACUGAUAAAAUAAAAAAGUCCAACAUGAUGAUUUGGAAAUUUCAAUAUUAUAAAAGUCAAAUGAUACGUUAAAUGUGUGCUCAAAUACUAAGGAUGUAUUUGAUUAAACUGAAGUUUGAAAACUGAAAUUUGAAAUUUGAAAUCUGAAGUACGAGUUAAUUAAGUUAUUGAAUUGUUAAAUAUUAAAACUAAUACAUUUGAGUGCAUAUCACAUUUAGUGAUAAGUGAAUAAUUUAUCACUUAAUUUUGAGAGCAAAUUUUGCCUAGAAAAUUCAGUGUCACUUAAUUAAUUCAGAUGUUUAAAUUUUUGUUGUCAAACGGUCUAAAUAUAUUAAGAUCUGAAUCCAUUAAAUUUAAGUACUGAAUUGAGUUAUCAAUCAGAGGCUAAAUUAGACAACUCACUUUUUAUGGAGUUGAAGUGUUAUUUUCUUGCCAUAAUACUUAUCUCAUUUUGUUUUUGCUCAACUUUUUACGUUGAAAAAUAUGCCAUCUAGUUACAAAAAGCUUGCACUUAUUUCAACAAUUUCCAAUUAUCUCCAAUAACAAAAUUUUCAUCUUGUAAGCAGCUGGAAAGUUUCCUUAACAUAUGGAAUCUCUUGAUUUAUCUUCAAUAGAAAGAUAAAUGAAAAUAAAUGAAUUUAAAAUCCAUCUUUUCUUUUAAAUCUCCAUAUCUAGUAGAACUAAAAUUUUUGAAACUAUUUGACUUAUAUCAUUUUUUAAUGUUGUCAUUACAUUCUUUACAAAAAAAAAAAGUGUUGCAAGAUAAGAAUAUUAUCCACACAAUUACGUUUGAAUAGCAUUAAAUCUUCCAAAUGAAGAUUUCCUAGAUGAAAAUAUUAUCCACACAAUUAUGUUUGAAUAACAUUAGAUUUUCUAAAUAAAUAUUUCCUGCAUAAUUCACCCAUGUGAUGCACAAGAUUUGAAUUUGAAAAUUGUUGUUGCUAUCCUUAUUUGGCUAAUACAAUGUAGUUUAAAAAAAAAUUCUCAAUUAUCCCGAAUCCAAUUUCACCAUCGAUUUCACGCACUCUAGCUGCGUCUGCCCUUGACAGUAGACACCUCCGCCUUCCAUUAUUUCUCCUAUUUCGUAUAUUCAUAUGCUCGUCGUUUUCCUCUAACCAUUUCCUCCUGCCACCCCUCACACAUACACAUCCCUUCCCGCCUCCAUUCUCUUCUCAACCCUAAUAUCCCCUCCAAAAACCUCCAGACAUCAGCCAUGAAAGUACCUGAAAAUGAAGUAAAAGCUCUAACAAAUUCCAUAACUCAGCUCCUCAGUUCUCUCUCCAGCUCAGUCCCACAAGCCCAGUGCUUCAAAAGUAAAUGGUCUAUCAUUUCUUCGAAACUCUCCACUCUGGAAUCCCUUGUUUCCGACCUUUGUAACUCAUGCUCGGCUACCACAACCAGCGCCACCGGUUCUCUAGCCGUAGACCUUCUUCAGAGUCUUGUCACUACACUCACCGACGCGCUCUCGUUGUGCAUGCUCUGCCACGCGCCGACCCCGCCUCACGGGAAGCUCAAGACUCAAAACGACGUCGACUCGAUCACGGCUAAGCUCGACAACCACACCAGAGACCUCGACGUUCUCAUCAAAAGCGGCGUUCUCCUCCACCCCCAGAACGCCGUCGUUGCAGCAGCGCCAGCAGCAACGACACCGACUAGAGAAUCCGUCCGGGCCGAGUUCCGCAACCUCAUAACUCGUCUUCAGAUUGGCUCCACCGAGUCGAAGAAUUCGGUUCUUGACUCGGUGCUGAAUCUUCUACAAGAGGAUGACAAGAACGUUCUCAUCGCGGUGGCGCAGGGGAUUGUUCCGGUGCUCGUCAGAACACUGGAUUCCAACACCCAUCAUCUGGAAAUGAAGGAGAAAAUCGUGGCGGCGAUCGCUAAAAUCUCAACCGUUGAUUCCAUUAAGCAUGUUCUGAUCGCGGAAGGUCUCGGCUUGCUGAAUAAUCUCCUCCGGGUUCUGGAAUCUGGCAGCGUUUUCGCCAAGGAAAAGUCCUGUAUAGUCCUCCAAGUACUGAGCAAUUCCAAGGAAAAUACGAGGGCAAUUGGGUCAAGAGGAGGGGUUUCGUCAUUAUUAGAGAUUUGUAACGAUGGUACCCCAAAUUCACAAGCUAUGGCUGCUGGAGUUUUACGUAUUUUAUCCGUUUAUCCGGAAAUUAAGGAGAAUUUUAUCGAGGAAAACGCUGUAAUGAUCUUACUGGGGCUGUCGAAUUCAGGCACUAUAUUGGCACAGGAAAAUGCUAUAGGUUGUUUGAAUAAUUUGGUUGUUAAGGAUGAUAAUCUUAAAUUGUUGAUUGCUCGAGAAGGCGUGAUCGAGAGCAUGAAAAACUAUUGGGAUUCUAUUAAUUCAGUUCAGAAUCUCGAGGUUGCAAUUGUUAUGAUUCAGAUUUUAGCUUCUUGUCCGUUGAUAGUGGAAAAUCUUGUGGCUGAUGGGUUCCUGAAUCGAGUUGCUGGGGUCUUGAGCUGCGGAGUAUUGGGGUGUCGUAUUGCUGCAGCUAAAGCUGUUUACGAAUUGAGUUACAACACGAAAACCCGGAAAGAACUGGGCGAAAUUGGAUGCAUUUCUGCGUUGGUGAGGAUGAUGGAUGGAAAAGCAGUUGAGGAAAAGGAAGUAGCCGCAAAGGCAUUGUCGAGUUUGAUGGCAUUCCCGGGGAACAGGAGGAUUUUCAAGAAGGAAGAAAAGGGGAUUGUUAGCGCAGUUCAACUUUUGGAUCCCUUGGUCCAGAAUUUGGAUAAGAAGUACCCUGUUUUGAUACUCAUCUCCCUGGUUCAUUCCAAGAAAUGCCGUAAACAAAUGGUUGGUUCUGGGGCUUGUUCGCAUUUGCAGAAACUGGUGGAGAUGGAGAAUGUCGAUGGCGCUAAGAAGCUGUUGGAAAGCUUAGGUCGUGGGAAGCUAUGGGGAGUCUUUGGCAUUCAUUGAUUGAUGAUUCAGAAGUGAAAAAACUGAUUCUGGUGGAUGCUGCUUAAUCUGUAUGUAGUGCUAUACUUUGUCAUUGUUCUUGUUUCUUGUAAUUUCAUCUUUUUGUUUUUGUUUUUCAGUUUUUGUUUAUAAAAUUUGUGUUUAGGAUUUGAAGUAGAGGAAGUAAAUGUGGUUAGUCCUAGUGAUGAAGAUUUGGGUACAGGGAUGAGUAAAGAGUAAAAUCUUUGGUUGGGUGACCUAACUUGAAUUAGGAGUUCAUAGAUUUGUGUUUUUCUACCAAAACCCAAUAAGUUUAUACUAGCAGUAGUACUAUUGAAUAAAGAUGGUUAUGCCUACUCAAUGAAAUAUGUCUAUGGUUUCAAUUUGGGGUUCAUCUGUUCCCCAAUCUUUCUGCUUCAGUGUUUGAAGUUAAAAAAGUUGUUGUUUUUCAAGUCAGAGAUCAGAGUACUUCUAUUGUUAGUUAUAGUUUGUUUCAUGUUACUUGUGGAUGGAUGAGUUGUUUGCUAAACUAAGUAAAGAUGCAUUCUAAAGCUACUUUUUUUUAAAAAAAUGUAAAAGUACUAUUUGCUUUAUUAAAAUUAACUUUGAGGAGCUUUAUUUAAUACUACAAGUAACUUUAAAGGGUCAAAGAACCUUUCUUUUUUUUUUUUUUUUGGUGGUUGAUCAAUGAAAUGGAGAUUGAUAUGAAACUAAAACAAAUACCAAGAUUUAUCCUUGUUUGAGACAUAAAUUUUCAUAUUAACAUUUUUGUGCAUCAUGCGGGUUUGCAGCUCUUUAUGCAAGGUCCAUAAUGACUUAAAUCACUUCAUAUGCUACAUUAACAAUAGCCACCCUGCAUCAAAAUAGUACAUGUUAUCUAUACUGUUAUCAAUCAGGCUACCCCAAUUGACGACCAUUUCUCUUUUUUUUUUGGGGAGAAAAUUAUUCUUGAGUGGAAAUUUGUAUGUGUGAAUGCUAGAUGUGACCCUUUACAAUAAUUCUCCGUUUAAGUUUGACAAUUGAUGAUCAACACGGAAACACAAAUUUGUAUCCCCCAAUACCCCCCCCCCCCCCCCCAACACCCCAACAAACACACACAGAGAAGUACUUGCUAUGAUGCUACUCCAAGGUCUUAUUGCUUGUGUGAUACAAUGUCGGCCCUUUUUGGGAAUCAACACAUCUAAUAAAUUGACAGAUUCAAUUGUUCUGUCUUUGAUAGUACUCCUCCGUUCCACUCCACUUUGAUAGUCCUGUUUUCCUUUUUCGUUUAUCCCAAAUUGUAGUUCACUUUUCAAUUGAAAAAUAUAGUUAUCUUUUAAUUUAUCUAAAAUACCCUUAUUCAAUGUAGGUUGUUAUUAGUAUAAACUACCUUAUGUAAUGUAGAUUGUUAACCUACUCCAUUUAAUACAUUUAGAUUUUUCAAAACAUAUUGAUAUAUGAAAAACCAGCUUUGUUAUUAUUUCAAGCCAAAAUGUGAAAUAACCUAAAAUGAGGAUUGAUUCUUUCUUGAUAAUCAAUUCAAGUUCUCAUAAACCAUCAAUUCAAGUUUUCAUGAAUAAUUAAUACUCCCUCUGUCCCAUUUUGAUAGUCCUAGUUUUUUUUUUUCACACCGUUUAAGAAAAAGUAGUUAACUUUGUUGAAAAACAAAUUUAGAUUGCUAUUUUCUUAAAAUACCCUUACAUUAAAUAAAGUUGGCUUUUCAUAUAUCAAUAUGUUUUGAAAAAUCUAAAUGCAUUAAAUGUGGUAAGUUAUAUUCAAUACUAACAAUCUAUAUUAAAUAAGGUAGUUUAUAGUAAUAACAACUUACAUUAAAUAAGGAUAUUUUAGAGAAAUUAAAAGACAACUAUGUACAUUCUUCAAUUGGAAAGUGGACUACAAUUUAGGACAGACGAAAAAGAAAAACAGUACUAUCAAAGUGGGAGGAAGGGAGCAUAAAGUUAUACUCUAUUUAAUGUAAGGGUAUUUUAGAAAAGUAGCAAUAUAAAUUUAUUAUUCCAACAAAAUUAACUAUUUUUUUUUAAAUUGUAUGAAAAAAAAAACUAGAACUGUCAAAAUGAGACAUAGGGAGUACUACUUUAAUGUUAAGUUCCACUUGAGUUGAGAACGGAUGAUAAAAAUUAAAACAAAAAAGGCCAUCAGUCUAGUUCGACUCUUCUAUCAGAAUUCAGAAGCCAAGCCUUCAACUUCCGACUCCGACCAAUCUAGUCUGUCCGGUCUGAAUUGGCAUAACAACAUUUGUAUAAUAGAAAGAAAUUCUUGGGAGGCAGAUGUAACGGGCUGGUAGGUCUUCUCCCAUGUGCAUUUGUUCUGUUCGUUUGUCAACACCCUCACAGCUGCGCCAUCCCCUGCUGGUUGUUACCUAAACAAUCAUACAACUUCGAGAUUGUGUUGUAAAUCGUCCUACUGAUCUUAUUUUAGACAAGCUUAAAUCUUUACUUCCUACUCUGCGUUGAGCUCUCAUGAAGGGAAGAAAAAGUAUUAAUAAAAAUACUUAAAAAUUCCAUUCCACAAUUCUUGUUUCAGUGGAUAAUGGAUGUAACUGAUGAACUCAGUAGCAGCUUUUUGAGAAUCCAUAACCAAUCUUUAUCGCAAAAGUAUCCUCAUUUCAAUAUUUUAGGCUUCACACGACUGUGGUCAUCAUUAUGGCACGGAAGAUAAAGUGUUGGGGCCUCGCUUAUGUCCCUAAACAAAACACUUUGAUUUCUGGAUUAGACUUGUAAUUCUGAUGAGCACUGUGAGGUUAAUGGCAUUCCUACACGAAAGGGUGUGUUUAGAUAGGAAUUAUUUGUCAAAAAAUUACUUGCUUGCAUCACGAAUAUAUUUUUCAACACAUUAUAUUUUUAUCUUUUCAGUUUUUUUUUUAUCUCACAUACAUCAAAUCCCAAAAAGUUAUAUAAUAAUUAUUUCAAAUAAUCUCCUAUCCAAACACACACAUUUGUUCCCUCCGAAGUUUCUAAGGCACUGUUUGGAUGAAGGAAAGGGAAGGAAAGGAAAAAAAAAAUGAGAGGACUCUAGUCAAAAAGAAAAGAAUGGAGAAUAGAGGAAAUUUGAAUCCAUCUAUAUUGUUUGAAUUACAAAAGGAAAGGAAUUACGUUUUUAUCCAUAAUUUAAAAUUUUAAUAUAUAAACACAUAAUAACUUUUUAAGGAAAAUUUAAGAUUUUCAUUAAUUUUAGUGUCCUUUCCCUUUGUUUCCGGCCAUUUUUGGACGGAAAAAAUUGGUGACAAAGAGAUUAAAAAAUGGUGGCAAAGAGACUAAAAAUGGUUUCUGUGCAUUUAGUGUCCUUUCCCUCUAUUUCCGCCAUUAAUUUUAGUGUCCUUUCCUCUGUUAACUAACCUUAUCCUUCUCUUUCCCUCCCAAUCCUUUUCUUUCCCUCCUCGAAAACCAAUCCAAACAUUAAAAAAUUUAUCCCUCCAUUUCCUUUUCUUUCCUUCCCCUCCCAUUCCCUCAAAACAAACAGUAGUGUUUAAGAUAAAAAAUUACUGUUUGCAUAGGGAAAAACAAAAAAUUUAAGAGGUCGUUCUAAACAUACUAGUUUUCUAAACAGUUGCACGGCCGUGGUCUUCCCCAUUUAUGAGUUUUGACCUGUAAUCCAGAAUGAGCAAAUUUGGGAUCUCUUAUUGUGAGGAGUUGACCAUGGAUCUCUUAUUGUGAGGAGUUGACCAUGACUUUGAUUGUCCUACCACCACAUUCAUUAAUUACAAGAAGAAGGAACUAAACAGUUGAGAUUCUUCUUUCUUGAACUUCAACCGAGCAUGGCAUCUUUUAGCCUAUGUUCCAUUUAUGCUAUGUUUGAAUUGAUGUUUAUAGGGCCAUUCUGCAUCUCUUUUUUCUUGAAGCGUAGCAGUCUCUGAGUCUGCAACUUUUAUCUUAUUGUUGUGGGCUUUUUAGAUCAUUCUUGCCUCUUGCUUCUAAAAUGCCAAACAAAACAAUUAUGAACUACCUACCAUUGAGGCCAUUAAAGCUGAUCUUUUACUCUCAUAUCAUUAAAACUAGUGCUCAAUCGAUUUCCGAUUCUAUUCCAUUUUGUCAAGUAUCUACUGUAAUUGAUUAAAUUAGAACAAGUAUACAAAAUAUUCAGACUCGGUGUUCAAAAAAAAAAAAAAAAAAAAUUACAUACAACUUCGACUAUAUACAAGCCCAAUUCGUAGAUGAUUAGGAUUAGUAUUCGUUUGUUGUGUUUGUACAUAUUUUUUAUGUGUGACCACAAUAUAAUAUAUGCGGAAGUUUUUAGCCAUGCAUACUAAUUUUCCUAUGAAAACAACCAUAUCGUGUAAUUAUACAUUAAAUACUGUAAUAAAUACAAUACGUGUAUAAAAUUGCACGAAAUCACAACCAAAAUUCUGUAUGCAAAAAUAAAUUACUCUAAUAUAUUCAGAUAUUAGAGAAUUCUGUUGUGAGAACUAUUUAAAUAAGAUAAAGCCCUUUAAAAUUAAUUUUAAUUGCUUGAGGGGGAAAGGGAGGGGGGUUGAUUGCAUCCUACAUAACAACUACUUCGAAUCGGCCUUACUCAAUUAGUGUUUCCAAUUGGGCAAAUUUUACCAGGCUGACUGAAUUGAGUAUCUUCGUCCAUAGUUUUGGGAGGCCACAGGCCCAACAUUAAAGCCUAACCCUAUUUUGUUUAAUAAGAAAAUGUCAACAUUUUUCGAGUUUCAACUUAAUUGAUAAGAACAUUCAUUAAUCAAGCGAAUAUCAACUGUUCGAAAAAUUCUAUUUUUCAAGUGAAUUCUUGCAUCUUCAAGUGCUCAAAAUCAAAAGGUAGUUUAAUAAUGAUACAUUACAUGAAAAUCCUUGCUUACAUGUGUUUCUAUUUGUCAAUGAACAUAAGAAAACUAGUAUCUUUAGCUUGUUCAAAACACAAGAAAUUUUAUUUUUCAAGAGGGUUCAUGCAUCUGCCACCACCUCUAGAGAAUGGAAUUAUCAAUUAGGUGCUUAUAAUAAUAAAAAAAAAGUAGUUUAAUCAUGAUAUAUAUAUAUAUAUAUAUAUAUAUAUAUAUAUAUAUAUAUAUAUAUAUAUAUAUAUAUCAUCAAAAUUCUUGCUUCUAUGUGUGGCUCUUUGUCAAUGCAUGCAACGGUUUUCAACACACAAUUACAUACAUUUUGGUUGCCGUGCACGUUUCAUUUCAUGUCUACAUGAAAAAAUAGGCAAACAAAUGAUAUUUAUUGCUUUCGUAAAACUAUAUUACUCCACUAAAAAUUAGCCAAGGAUUAUCUCUUAAAAAUUAUUAAAUGUUCUAAAAAAUUUUGGAAGAAAUAUUAACAGCUAGGAAUGGUAUACGUGUAUGUGCAAAUUGGUCCAAAAAUCACCAAGACUAAACGAAUACAAGUCCUUGUCAAGCAUCUAUGUUAUAUAUAGCCUCCACCGUUUGCCAAAUGCAGGUAAUUACCUACCUAUGUUAGGUGUAUUUUUAAGCCUCCUUUGGUUGUUCUUUCAUUGCCUUUGCUGUUGGAUUUCCGUCUUCUAUCCCCUUUCGGUCCAAAGGAGAAUUCUUAUACAUAAUUAACUGUUGGCUUUAUCACAUGUCAUAGUAGGUAUAUGGCAUGUCGUGUAGGUCAUUCUACUCCUCUAUUCCCUUUCACUGAAGUGAUUAACGUUCCACACUCUAUAAAAUACUUCAAAUCGCAAUAAGAAUUUGAUGGAGACAAAGCGUUCUAACCCGACCAAUUGACAUCGCAAUAAAUUCAUCCUCCAUUUUUUUGGGGGUUUUUUAACGUGUGGGAAUACUUGGUUAAUGCAUUUUCAAGAAUGAAUGGCUUCUCUAACUUGGAAUUAAUGCUUUUUUUUUUUUUUUGAAAUUGUGGCAUCAAACUAGCUUCACUUUGAACAUUUUUUUGGCCUCGGAUAGAUUGUAGUAACAGCAAUCAAAGUUGAUGCGUAAAUCUUUUGAAUUUUUCUACGCUUAAAAUAGGGAAACAAACUGAGGAAAUGAAAACUAGCUGUUUAGAGAUUGUUUGUCAAUUUCAGUAACAAUUUCGAGGGUUAGUUACUAAGCAACAAAAUCCUGUUUGAGAUUACAUAUUGCCUUUGAUAAUAUAGGCAAUGUAGGAGGCAAAUUGUACAACCCAAACUCUAAAAAGUAGUUUUAACAUAUCAAAAGCAGUAGUGUUACCCAAUUCAUAUUGGACAAAGAGGCACGGAAUUUCUUUUUGUCCCAUAAAAGUCACCAAAUACCUAAUUUUCUGCCAUAUUAAUUUCUUCCAUGCUACGUACAAGUAGUUCAGUCUUGGACAUUUCUUGAUUUUUUUGCAGAGAUGAUGGUGAGGAGGAGAUAGAGAAUGACAGCAGCGUAGGAGCAAAUCACAGAAUAAGCCGCUCUGUUGCAGUAAUUUUUGAAAUGGUCACAAACUGCAGUCCAACCGAUGUGAUUAUUCCCAUAUUUCCCUACCCAUCCAAUAGCAGUUGCUGCUGCACAUCCGGCCAUCAAUAAUGUGCUCAUAAUCUGUCCAAAUCCACCACAUUUGCUAACUUUUUUUUGAAGUGUUUUAAGUAAUUAAUCUUGCAAAAACUAUCAGAAGAAUUAAAGAAAUACUAACAAUUGUUUCAAUUGCCAAGAAUCCAACCAUCAAGACAUCUUUAACAUUAGAAAGGCCAUUUGUUUCGAUUUUGUAGUAUGGCACCAAAAGAAUAAACAUGAUUUUUCUAUCUUGUUGUAAGGGAGGGUCAGGAUAAGCAAACAAUAUAUAGAUAAAGAAGGUGUACUCGCUUGAGAAAACUCAAACAUUUUCAUUCAACCCUAAAUUGAAUUAACUUUAGCCUACCAAACUCAAACUUUCGCACCAAAUCCAACUCUUGAAUAGAAGAGUCCAAAAUCAACACCUAAACAAUAUUAGAGGAUGGAAACUUGAAUUUGAUUUGAGCCAUGGCUUUUCCUUGCUACGUAUAAAUAUAGCAAUGCAUAUACUUCACUAGUUUGGGUGGCCAAAUUCCAUGGCUAAAAGCAUAUCACGUAGUAACAUAACACACCAAACUUAUCUGUGCAUAUAAUCCUAAACCAUGAGUGUUCCUCAUAGCAUUAUUGAUGUACCUUCACAUUUUACCAACAAGAGGUCAAAGAUACAGAAAAUACAACCGAGUAUUAUCAAGAUUCGUCGCUAAAAAGCCUAAAAAUUGGUCACUGAAGAACUAAACAUAACUUACCAAAUCAUGCAGAAACAUGACGAAGUAUGUCCUUGGCUUCAAGAGUAGCACAGAAAACAAGGAUAAAACCGAGAAUCCACACGCAGCAAUGUUUGCAUAUGCAAAAAACCUGCACAUAUUUUGCUACUUAAUAUUUCAAUAUAAAGGACUACAGAUGAUUAUUUGCUUCAAAUUUUAAUGGGUCUUAGCUACUGUUUUUGCUUGUGUGUGUGUAGUGUGUGAAUCUUACUUACUUGAAAGCUUGAGAAUAGGUGUAACGAGCAACAAAUUGCAUUCCAAGAACCACAACGGUUUCCUUACUGGUGAGGAUCAGCCAUGAUGCAGCAAGGGUGGCUCCGGUGGUUAAAAGUCUCAAGAAAAUUUGGGCCCCAAAGAAACGAUUACUAGUUAUGUGAGGUGGGCUGUAAUUUGCCAUUGAAGAACUUUUGGGAACUUCCUCCUGAAGUUGAAGAAACUAACUUGUGAAUUUUGAAGCUCUAGAUACGGGAGAAGUGAGUAAGGAAGUUACAGUCAAGUGGAACUCAUAAGCGAGAAAGAGGGGAAGUGGAUUACCACAAAUCAGGUUUGGGCUGAUUAUAUUUCGGGGUACUAGUUAUUUGGUCGAUUAAGGUUGGAUGGUUGAAAUGUUUAUUUUUUUUUGGUUUUUUUUUUUCAGCAGAGGAGGGGUAAAUAUUUAACUAGCCUUUGGUUAAUUAGAUUGAGGAUUGGAAUCUGAGAUGUGCACACUAAGUGUUUAAGUUCUUUUUUUUUUUUUUUUUUGCUUUAAUAUUUAAGUACAUGUUGAAUACUGAAAAAAAAAAAAAUAGUACAUGUUGAAUUCUUAUUCUUUGGUAAUAUUCUUUUUGUGAAUACUGAAAUUUAAGUGCUGAAUUCUUAUUUGUUCUUUUUAUAAGAUUACAACUAACCACACCAUGGGAUAAAGACCUCCAAGCACUCUGAGUUUCAACCUUAAGGUCUCCUUGGCUUUGAAUACUUUAUUUGUUGAACUCAAGAAGUCAUAUUUUGGUCGAUAAGUUAAAUUUUGAGUGCUGGAUUAAAAGAUUUUAUUUUACAUUUAUUAUUUAGUUUAAUACUGAUAAUUUUUUUUUUACUUUUAUAUUAGACUAGUUUUUUAAAUAGGAAAAAUGACACAAAAUUUACCUCGCCUUUUCCAAUUAAAAUUUUGCGUUCCUUAAAUUUGAUUACAAGAAACAGAACAUUUUAUUCUUGAAUUCCUACAGCAUAUAUAUAUAUAUAUAUGACGUUUACUUUCUUUUCUUUUCAGUUAAAACAAAACUAUCUACUUAUUUUUUCAAAUUAAUUAUAAAAUUCUUCCACUCUUGUAUAUAUAUUCUUUGCUUUUUUUUUCUUUUCUGUUAAAACUUUCUCCAGAAGGUAAAAGGACAAUAAAUACGCUGUCAGCAAUUCUCUGCACCACAAGACUUCACAUUUUUGUUCCCAUAAGUAGAAGAGAGACAAAAGAUACAGAAGCAUUUUGCUGGCAAACAAACUGAAAUUACACAACUCCUACAGCAUUGAUCCUGGACAUCAGCAACAUAAAUCACACGAAACAUAUCAUCUUCUUCAACUAUUACAAGUACUAAGAACUUCAAACUUGAAUCCACCUAGAAUUCACAGCUGAUAUGAUUGUGAGGAGGAGAUACACCAUGACACCAAAGUAGGAGAGUGCCACAGAAAUAGCAACUUUUCUACAGAAUUUGCCAAAGUUGUCACAGAUUGGCAUCCAACCAGUAUGGCUGUUCCCAUGUUGUCCAACGUAUCCAAUUGCAGUUGCUGCUGCACAUCCGGCCAUCAGUAGGGUAACCACCAUCUGUCAAAAAAAAAUCAUCAAAAUUCGAAAACCGACUCAGAAGUUCAACAUGUUCAAUUUCUUUCUUUCUUUUUUCUUGGAAUUAAAACACUGUAGUACUGUAACAUGAAUGAUCACCAAAAUUUUCUAUCAUGACAUACCAAAUCAUGGAGGAAAAAGUAGAAAAACUUCAUUCCAACCAGAGAUUUGUAACUAAUGACGAGGAGAAGAAGCAAGGAUAAAGCCGAGACUGCACACACGAUGACAUUGGCAUACGCGAAGAAUCUGCACAUUCGCGAAAUAAUAAUUUCAGGCAUAUAUACAAAUUCAUCUAUGAAAUCAAAAUACAGCAAUGCAUAUAGAAAAUAUGGUUAGAGAUGGUACUAGUGUUUCUUACUUGAAUGCCGGAGAGUAGCUAUAACGUGCAUCAACAACCAUCCCAAAAACCGCAACAGUUUGCUUGCUAGUGAGGAUAAUCCAUGCUGCAGCAAGGGUGGCUACCGUGGCCAAAAGCCUCAAGCAAAUUUGGGCCAUAAAGGAAAGUUUAUGGGUUUUAAGAGUUGAGUUAUGGAUGUGCUUGGCUUCAACGUUUUCCAUUUCAGAGUUUUCUUGAACUUAAGCAAGAUGAACCAACAAUUACUAAUAUGUUCUUUACCAUCAGUUGCAGGAUACAAUUAAUCUAUAACUGUAGAUCUAGGAUAUGAAUUUGGGAUGCCGAAUUUUGGGGGGUAUUUAUAGGCGAACAAAGGUGUGGGAUGUGGGGAACUGGAUCAGUCUACCAAAACAUGGGCACGAAUUUAGUGCUACUAGUUCUUACGUGAAAAAUGGCGUGUCAUUAUGAUUUGAAGAAGAACUAAAAAAGUUUUGUUGGAGCUAUUUCUAGAGGUGUUUGUCUGUCCCUAUAUAUACUAGGUGUAAAUUAAAAGAACAAAAUAAUGAGCAGUUAUUAAAAAAGUUUUAUUAGGUAGUGUAAUGUGAUUUUUUUUUAUUGUUAAACAAAAAAAGAAAAAGGGAGUUAUUGGCAGUUAUUGGAAUCUACUAAUUAGCUUUUUAGUGUGAGGGUACAUAGAGCACAAAUUAAAAGAAAAAAAUAAUGAGCAGUUAAAAGGUUUUAUCAGGUUGUGUAAUGUGAUUUUUUUUUAUUGUUAAACAAAAAAAAAAAAGAAAGAGAAGUUAUUGGCAGUUAUUAGAAUCUACUUUUUAGCUUUUCAGUGGAAGGAUAAAUAAAUUAAAAAAAAGUAACAAAAAAAAUUUUACACCGUACCCCUUUCUUCUCCCUUUAUAUACAGUAAGAUAUAAGAUAAUAUAUUCAUGGGCUUCAUUUAAAAGCGCUGAGCAUGACCAAAUCAAUGCUAGACUUUUUUCUUUGUCAUUUUCAAAUGUUCAGACAAACAAAGAUUGCAGGCUUCAAAUCCUCUGUUCCCAAAGUAGCCUCUGUCCCUUAUUUGUGGUAAAAAAGAGUUUUAUUGAUUUGGGGUAAAAAAUAAAGAAGAGUUUUAGUUAAUUUCUAUGUUUAUGAUCAACAAGACUCUUUUUUGUUAAAAAGAAAAUAAAAAAAAAGUUUUGAGUUAUCUGUUUUAAUUGAUUUUGAGUAAACUUGUAAAUCGAUUAUUAUCGAUUUAUUUGAGUUCGGGUUAACAAAAGACUAAAGACACGUGGCAAUUGUACAAAUAAGGGACAUAGGCUACUUUGGGGACAGAGGAUUCGAAGCCAAGAUUGCAAAAAUAAAGAAGAGGGACUAACUUAUCCACUUUGAAGCAUUAUAUACAGUUUUGAAGAUAUUUUUGAGACAUAGAGGCAACGAGUUAGCAACUUUGUUGGGAUUCAUAAUGUCAGUUUUUGGGCCAAUUGCAAGAAUAAUACCAAACUUACAUAUCUAUACUAUACUACACAUAAAAUCUGAAGACGGGGUUUGGAGUUAACAGAAAAGCUGCAUCAUGUAAGCCAAUACAUCUUUGUUUUUGGAAAUAUGAAUGAUAUAAGAAACUGAAAGAAGAUAGUGAUAAGAUGGAAUGGUUAUUUUGUUUCAUGUAACCCUUCUGUUUCUUUAUCUCAUAGUGUCAUGAGAUUCCUUUUUAGCCUUCAGGAUCAUUUAGACGUUAGAGAAGGGGUAACUCAGGACAAAAGUAAAAGAUGAUGAAGAUCCAUUUUCAAGCUAAUUCAAGUGUUGAGGGCUUAAACAAAAUCCAAUAGCACUGCAAAGAUUUUAGUGUUUAAUAACUUUAAUUAAUUUAAUUUUCUUUGGAACUGGAAAAUCCCAUUUCUUUUCAGCUAUUAGGCCACAAAAUCCAAUAGCUUCCAAACUUCAUUUGCAUAUGAAAAAGAUAGAAAUCAAUUGAUUUCUAGUUUCUACUCAUAAUCUAAGAGGGGAGCCUUUCAUGUUAUUGUUUAUUAAGCCAACUGUCCCUUCAACUUCAAGAGAUCUUUUACUUUUAACUAAAAAUGCAUUGGGAAUAGAUGACUGAUACCAGCAAAUCAAUGCUUUUAUAGCAAUUUUGGUGCCUGCAAAAGAUCUCUACUCCAACAGGUUGCAUGCUUCAAAAAUGGAGCUUACAAAAAGCCCAUUGCCCUCCGGCAUGUGCUCUCUUUUCCAUUCAAUACAAGCAUAGCAAGUUUGCAUGAAAAAAAAAAAAGGACCCAUCUUUUAUGACAACAGAACCAUCUUCUUUUUUCAUUUUUCCCAAGGGUGGUAAAAUGAACUUUUGAACGUUUUCAUUUCUUGCUAUGAUCAGUUGUGUUUGUCCAUUCUUUUCGAACACUUCGACUCUAUUCCCAUGUUUGUACUUUUCUUUGCAUGCAUGGGUGACCUGCAUCUUGAUAUUCAAGUGAAAGUUGCAGAAAAAGAAAAAGACUAACUUGCAGAGUUCUUAUUUUCUGCCUCUCCAUUUCAAGUACAAAGAGAAAACGUCAUGUAUUACAUUUACAAAGUAGAAAACGUCAUGUAUUAUUCUGAAUAAUCUGCAAAUUUAUUUAUUUAUUUUUUGUUUAAUUAACAUUCUCGUAUAAACGUAGGCCAAGUUUUCUAAGUAAAAUUAAGAAGAAUAAAAGAGAGUUCUACACCAGCUACUUGGGAGGAAUGCACCAUUAGCUCAAUAUCUAGUUUGGUUUGGAUCUUUCAACAAAAAAUUUUCUCACCAUGCUGAUGGUUCCUGCAGUUCAGUGAGGGCACUACAAUCUGACAAAAGUUUGUUUCCUUUUUUUUUUUAAUUGGUAGAAGACAAUGGUCAAAAGAAAGAAACUAUUGUCAAACUAUUGUUUCUUUCUUUUGACCAUUGUCAAAUAGGAGUAUAGAAUGGGCAAUUGAAAGGAAUAUGAGUAUGAAUGUGCUUAAAUUUAGUAUACACAAACUUAGCCAGCAAAUUUGGUAAAACGUACAAAAUAAAAGGGCUUUGAAUGCAAUGUGCAAGGAUUAAAGAAUCUGUGUACAAUGUUGGUAUGGGUACAAAUUUUUCCUACACAGUAAAUUGAGCAAUACACCUAAACAUAUCAGCCAGGAGGACUUUCACCAUGAUGAGAAGGUGAUGAAGUGUCACUUUCUAGCUUUGAUUUAGUCCUUUUUCAAAGGAGCAUGAAAGCUUAUCUACACUGUUUACAAUUCUUUCACUAGACUGAAUGAUCUAUUUAUUCUGAUGG
rnacentral:lncRNA from 1 species